UAUCUCUGUAGAGUCUGCAUAUCAAUAAGCGGAGGAAAAGAAACUAACAAGGAUUCCCUUAGUAACGGCGAGUGAAGCGGGAAGAGCUCAAAUUUGAAAUCUUCAAGGUUCUACCUUGACGAAUUGUAGUUUAAAGAAGUGUUUUCUGUUAGAUGAGUAGCAAAAGUUCCUUGGAAUGGGACAUCAUAGAGGGUGAGAAUCCCGUAUUUGGUUAUUCAUUCUAGCUUUGUGAUACACUUUCAAAGAGUCGGAUUGUUUGGGAAUGCAGUCCAAAAUGGGUGGUAAAUUUCAUCUAAAGCUAAAUAUUGGCGAGAGACCGAUAGCGAACAAGUACCGUGAGGGAAAGAUGAAAAGAACUUUGAAAAGAGAGUUAAACAGUACGUGAAAUUGUCAAAAGGGAAGCGUUUGACACCAGUGUCGUUUUUCCGAAAAUCAAUUACGAAUGGCUUGAUUUUGUGUUGUAUUGACCUUAUCAGCUUUCUUCACUUUUUUCGAGUCUUUCUUAAUGCACUUUUCGGUUAACAAGUCAACAUCAAUUUCUUUUGUUGUAAAAGAGUAUUCGGAAGGUGGCUUUCUUUUCGGAGAAAGUGUUUAUAGCCCUAUACUUCUACAAUCGGAGAGAUUGAGGUCUGCAGCGUAGAUCCUUCGGGGUUAGAUACACUUGUGCUAAGUUGUAGCUUUUCAUAGACAACUUGUUGACUAUGUUUAGUCAUGCGGCUUACUCGCUUGUGCUAUUUUACCUACGCUUAGGAUGUUGACUGAUAUGUAGUCGUA
rnacentral:rRNA from 1 species